rnacentral:rRNA from 1 species
GAUGAACGCUGGCGGCGUGCCUAAUACAUGCGAGUCGAGCGAACAGACGAGGAGCUUGCUCCUUUGACGUUAGCGGCGGACGGGUGAGUAACACGUGGAUAACCUACCUAUAAGACUGGGAUAACUUCGGGAAACCGGAGCUAAUACCGGAUAACAUGUUGAACCGCAUGGUUCAACAGUGAAAGACGGUCUUGCUGUCACUUAUAGAUGGAUCCGCGCCGCAUUAGCUAGUUGGUAAGGUAACGGCUUACCAAGGCAACGAUGCGUAGCCGACCUGAGAGGGUGAUCGGCCACACUGGAACUGCGACACGGUCCAGACUCCUACGGGAGGCAGCAGUAGGGAAUCUUCCGCAAUGGGCGAAAGCCUGACGGAGCAACGCCGCGUGAGUGAAGAAGGUCUUCGGAUCGUAAAACUCUGUUAUUAGGGAAGAACAAAUGUGUAAGUAACUAUGCACGUCUUGACGGUACCUAAUCAGAAAGCCACGGCUAACUACGUG